rnacentral:rRNA from 1 species
AGCCUCGAGCCACUACGCACUGGGGGUAGAGAUACUGAAUCGGUUUGGGGCCCUUCCCGGGGUACCCUGCUGAACCAAACUCCGAAUACCGGUACGACUAUCUCGGGAGUCAGUCCGCGAGGGAUAAGCUUCGCGGUCGAGAGGGAAACAACCCUGACCAUCUGCUAAGGUCCCGAAGAAAUGCUUAGUCACUAAGGAAGUUGAGUUGCGGAGACAACCAGGAUGUUGGCUUAGAAGCAGCCACCAUUUAAAAAGUGCGUAACAGCUUACUGGUCGAGCAAUUCUGCGCCGAUAAUGAACGGGAGUAAGUAUGACACCGAAGCAGUGGGUGCGCAAGCACGGUAGGAGAGCGCAGUAGAGGAGAUACAAGCCGUACCGAAAGGAGCGGUGUCGGCCUCUACUGGUGAUUAUGCCGGAAUGAGUAACGAUAAAACAGGUGAGAAUCCUGUUCGCCGAAAGCCUAAGGUUUCCUCGGCAAGGCAAAUCCGCCGAGGGUUAGCCGGUCCCUUAGUCAAGGCCGAAAGGCGUAGACGAUGGGUAGCAGGUUAAUAUUCCUGCGCCGUGUACCUGGACCGAUGGAGGGACGGCAUCCAAAAAGUGAGCGUUACGGAUAGAAAUGUGCGUUGCAUGAUCGAGAUGGGAGGAUUGGCAAAUCCGCCUCCGGAAUUCAAGAGAAAUGCGGGACUUCUUAUUUUGAAGGAAGUCACUGGAAGGAUGUCCAAGAAAAUCUUCUAAGGGUUGAAGGGUACAUGACCGUACUAAAACUGACACAGGUAGGUGAGACGAGAAGUCUAAGGCGCUCGGGAGAACGCUGGUUAAGGAACUCUGCAAAAUGGCCCCGUAAGUUCGCGAUAAGGGGUGCCUGCGCAAGCAGGCCACAGUAAAUCGGCUUCUGCGACUGUUUAUCAAAAACACAGGACUCUGCUAACUCGCAAGAGGAUGUAUAGAGUCUGACGCCUGCCCGGUGCCGGUAGGUUAAGGAAGAGGGUUAGCCUUCGGGUGAAGCUCGCGACCGAAGCCCCGGUAAACGGCGGCCGUAACUAUGACGGUCCUAAGGUAGCGAAGUUCCUUGUCGGGUAAGUUCCGACCCGCAUGAAAGGCGUAACGACUGGCGCACUGUCUCAACAGCAGACUCGGCGAAAUUGUAGUCGUGGUGAAGAUGCCACGUUCCCGCACCAAGACGGAAAGACCCCGUGAACCUUCACUACAGCCUGAUAUUGGGGCUUGUUAUGUCGUGCGUAGGAUAGGUGGGAGACGUCGAAGCCGGGCUUUAGGGCCUGGUGGAGUCAAUGGUGAAAUACCACUCUCGGCAUGAUAGGUCUCUAACGCUGCGCCGUGAAUCCGGGCAGCGAACAGUGUCAGGUGGGUAGUUUGGCUGGGGCGGUCUCCUCCUAAAAGGUAACGGAGGAGCGCGAUGGUACACUCAGUGCGGUUGGCAAUCGCACGUAGAGCGUAAGGGUAGAAGUGCGCCUAACUGCGAGAGAUAUAGCUCGAGCAGGUACGAAAGUAGGUCCUAGUGAUCCGGCGGAUUCCGAGUGGAAGGGCCGUCGCUCAUCAGAUAAAAGGUAC